rnacentral:rRNA from 1 species
CAAUAGCGUAUAUUUAAGUUGCUGCAGUUAAAAAGCUCGUAGUUGGAUUUCGGGUGGGAAUGGCCGGUCCGCCGUUUCGGUGUGCACUUGCUACGCCCACCUUGCUGCCGGGGACGUGCUCUUGAGUUCACGCUCGGGACACGGAGUCGGCGAGGUUACUUUGAGUAAAUUAGAGUGUUCAAAGCAGGCCUACGCUCUGAAUACAUUAGCAUGGAAUAACACGAUAGGACUCUGGCCUAUCUUGUUGGUCUGUAGGACCGGAGUAAUGAUUAAGAGGGACAGUCGGGGGCAUUCGUAUUUCAUUGUCAGAGGUGAAAUUCUUGGAUUUAUGAAAGACGAACUACUGCGAAAGCAUUUGCCAAGGAUGCUUUCAUUGA